rnacentral:rRNA from 1 species
GACGAACGCUGGCGGCGUGCUUAACACAUGCAAGUCGAACGGAAAGGCCCUGCUUUUGUGGGGUGCUCGAGUGGCGAACGGGUGAGUAACACGUGAGUAACCUGCCCUUGACUUUGGGAUAACUUCAGGAAACUGGGGCUAAUACCGGAUAGGAGCUCCUGCUGCAUGGUGGGGGUUGGAAAGUUUCGGCGGUUGGGGAUGGACUCGCGGCUUAUCAGCUUGUUGGUGGGGUAGUGGCUUACCAAGGCUUUGACGGGUAGCUGGCCUGAGAGGGUGACCGGCCACAUUGGGACUGAGAUACGGCCCAGACUCCUACGGGAGGCAGCAGUGGGGAAUAUUGCACAAUGGGCGGAAGCCUGAUGCAGCAACGCCGCGUGCGGGAUGACGGCCUUCGGGUUGUAAACCGCUUUCGCCUGUGACGAAGAGUGAGUGACGGUAAUGGGUAAAGAAGCACCGGCUAACUACGUG